GCGCCCCCUCGUGGUUCACUCUGCCGCUCUCAUCUCUCGUUGAGUAUCCUACUGGCGACGGGUCUCUCCGCUGCCCCGGGAGCCCGAGCCAGGGGCAGCGCCCAGGGCGCGGGCGGAAGGCGCUGAGGCACCCCCUCCCCCCUUACUCUGCCGGUCUUGGCCCCCAGCCCCCCCCCCACCCCGCCCGCCCCGGGCUGGAGAGGUCGGGGGAUUAGUCCCUCCCGCUUGGCGGCAGCUUAAGGCGGAAGAGCGCGAGUCCGGGGCGGAGCUCCCCGAGCGGGGUGGGGCUGGCGGGGGCGGGCAGAGUGCCUCGGCGGAGGGGCCCGGCGGGAACAAACAGCCGCCGCCGCGGGAGCGCUGCUCGGGUGGCCGGAGGCAGAGCCUCCUCUUGCCCGCAGAUCCCGCAAACGCUCGCUCCCUGGAGCCGCUGCCUUCAGUGCGCUCAGCCCUGGAUGGGGAGGGUUCACGCGGGUGCCAGCUGGAGCUGGGAGCAGCAGCGAUAGUCCCCCACCCGUCAUCUCCCCAAAGCAGCGCCCGGGCCACCGAGGCCGACGCGCGGUUGGAGCCGCACCAGCGGAGCCUGAGACGCCGGGACCAACGCCGCCGGAGCGGGACCCGAAGGAACCCGAGCGGCUUCCGGCCCAAGGCGAGACGCACUUAAGUGAUCGCAAGGAGCAAAGCUGGCGUUCUGAGCCUCGGGUCUCGGAGAGUGAUUCAGCUAAGAGCAGAAGAGAGUGGAAGGCAGAUCUGGCUGCUCAUAUCCUGUGAGAGCAAGUCUGCCGGUCACCCCCAUCUGGGACUUCAGACCAAGGGGAACCACCUAGUGUGCUGGGUCCGCAACAAAGACUGUCCUUGGGAAAAGAGAAGUGCUCCAGUCCUCAAACCAUAAUCAAGAAAUUGGACAGAGACUAGUGGCCCUGGAAUCAGAAUUUCAUAGGUGUUGUGGCUCCCCAGGAAGCAAAUAAAGGCCUUGGGGACAAGUAUUUGCAUGAGUCCAGAUGAACUCACAUACCCAGGGUUGCUAGAUUUACCAGGUUUAUUUUAUCUGGCAAACCUAUGCAAUCUUCAAGCUUGCUCAUUACUACAGGGACCUCUCACUGACACUCACAGACACCCCAUACCAUCCACCACAUACACAGCAGCUCCAACCCAGCUGAGCUCUGGUAAUGUCUAAGUAAAUAGAAGAACAACAGUGGCAACAUCCUUCUCCAUCUCACUUUCUAAAUGUCCUUAUUUCUAAAAUGGCAAAUAUGAAUCAGUAGCUUCUUUCUUUGCCAGAACUCUCUCCUGGUUCCCCUCACUCGAGCCCCCUGCCCAAGUUCAGGGUAAAACUAACUGAGGCGUUUCAGGCUCCAGUCAAGACUCUACCUUUCUACAGAGCAGCUGCAGCCACCAGCCCACACCUCUGCCUGGCCCUGUUUCACCCUCCAUUCUGCUGAGACUCAGGUCAAGGAAAGAAGACAUGCCCCCCCCCCCCAACUCUGUUUUGCAAGGUGAUUCUUAAAAAAUCCUCCAGAUUCUUCAGAACACACAGUUAUAAGAGUGGAAACAGUGCAAGGAGAUCGUGGAACUUGCUAGGCUUUUUGAAGAGCCCCUUGGUUGGGUUGGGCCCAGGUGUCCAGGCUCCCAGACUAGAACUCCUCUAUUAUUCAAAUAACGCUGCUUAACACCUGACCCAAGCUCAAUGCUUGCCUGGGGAGGUGUUUCUGGGAGCUUCUCACUCCUCCCAAAGGUCUGGCCAAAUUUGUUUUGAACAAUGCCAGGAAUAGGUGCCCUGGGGCUGGGAGAAUGGCGACCCAAUAUUCGGGAUUCGUUUAGUUUCCUGCCCUUCUCUCCAGCUUUUCCUGCCUGCAGGCUCUGCCUCUUCGACGUCUGUGGGUCGUGUGUGCGUCCUUGGGUGUGUCUGUCACUCCUCGCCUCAAAAACCUGGGUGCUGACAAAAGUCUAGGCUUUCAGCACCCAUGCCUGCAGCCUCCAAGAAGCAGGAGGCGACAGAUUGUGCGGGUCUUGGUUACAGUGUCACUGGUAGUUCUCAGCCUCUUUCCUCCAUCUCACUAUUUAGCCACCUUUCUGGAGCAGCCCAGAAAGGAUUGAGGGAAAGCGUCGGGGGCGGGGGUGGCGGGUGCUGAUCCAGGGAAUUUUCCACUCGGAAAUGUUCGGAGCACCGACAAGAGGUUGUUGCUUGUUUGUUGCACUGUGCAGCUAUCAAUAGCGUCCCUCCCCUUAUGGCUCCUCCCUGCCCUUCUUCUGGCCCCUGUAGACGUGCUCUUCUCGGCUUGAGGGGAAGGAGAGAUUCGGAUGACUGUGAGAAUAUAAUUGUCAUCACUAAACCGGCCAGGAGCGGCGCAGAGCUCUCCCGCGGCCUUCCCACGGUUCGUGUGCUGUGAGCACGGAGGUCCGCCCCUCCAUGCAGACCCGCUGCAAAGCGCCGCCUGAGCCAGGCAGGGGACCCCACGCUUGCACGCUUCUCUGAUUUUACUCACAAACCUAGCCAAGCUACCGCUCAGCCACCCGCUCUUUUGGUCCCUCCCUGGGGCCGCAGCUCUGGAGCAAGACGGCGGUUGGGCCACAGCGGGUCCAUCUCCCCUUUCUCCUCCAGAUCAUCGCCUGCUCAAAGGCGGUCGGCUGUCUUGGCCCUUAGUGUGAGGCGGGAGACUCCAGAUCGUGUGACCUGCAGGGGCGAGCUGCAGGCGGUGGGGCUCCACACACACAGGAGUUCAGGGAGAGGCCGGCCUUUCUGCGAGCCCAGAAAUGGCAGGGCCUCGGGCGGCGUGAGCUCUUUCACUCCCAGGCUAGCUAGCUCUGCACCGGCUCAAGGGUCGAUGCCUCUGCGGUCCCCCACACCUUGGGAAUCCUCCGCCUCUUGGAGGAAACGACUUUCGCUCCUUCCAUUGUGCACGGCCACCGUCCCCAGGCUGCGUGAUGGGGGCUCGCGGGAGCACCCUCCGGACCCAGCCCUGGGCGCCGCGGAGCCUGUGCACUCUGGUUCCUUCGCGGGAAGAGGGUUGCGGGCUCCGGAGAGGGUGAAAAAACAGCGCGGGUCCCAGACCACCCGCCCGAUCAGAAAAGCCGGCUUCACAGCGACCAGGAAGGACCGGCCGCACACGCUUGGGAGAUAUGCCGCAGGGCCUGGGGAGUUGGAGACGCUUCCAGGUGUGUGGAGGCCUGGGCAUCAGGUCAGAGUGCCUUGCGGAGUGCGUCCUGGGUCCGCAUGCGUGUGUCUGCUCCUCCGGGCGACGGUGGCUUUGUGUGCUCAAGUACGUCUCUGAGAGGCCGGCGCCAGUGCCGAGUUCUUCCCUUCCCGACCGCACAUCUGGGCCGGGGACAGCCCUGGAACGAUCGCCAGCCAGGCCCACAGCUCCACCUCGGGGCCCGAAGGGGUGCGACCUGGUCUCGAGCUGCAGACCCACUCCGGGCCUCUGCGUGACCCUCCAGGGAAAGAGGAUGUGAGGGUGCGAGCCUGGGCAGGGAGCUUGCACCGUGGCGAGGAGAGGAGGGGCCAGCGGCCUCGCGCGGAGAGCCAGGAGGAUUGCAGCAGCCACCUCCUUCCUAUGAAGUCCUCGCGGCUGGCGAGGACCCCAGUGCCGCGGGAACCGGACGGCUUUCCGCAGCCCCAAAUGGGUGGAGAGGGAGGGGCGGGUGCGGAGCCGUCCGAAUGAGAUUCCCCUACCCUAUACGCACGGACGCGCACACGCGCCGUCACGUUUAGCCUUUCGGAACCCCAGGCAGGGUCACUGAUGAUGCCGUAAGUCCUAGCCGGGGCGAGUAAAUAUUGCUGGACCUGAGUCCUUUGGAGCUGCUGUGGAGCCGCGGAAGCCAAGCUAUAGGGGACCAGCCAGAGUCCUGGCUCUGCCGCGCUGGAGCUGGGGACGGAUUCCGGGGAAACAGCGACCUCUGGAGGAGCCGCGCAGACACGCAACGAGGCAGGGACUGGACGACCAGGUCUGGGAUCAAAGCGCCCCUUCCCCACCCCUCUUGGCAAAAUCAUUCAGAAGCUUAUAACCUCUGGACUCCACUUUGCACAUGCUUGUAUCCUUUCACAGCUUGUACCCAAGCUUCACAUCCUGGCUCAAAUCCUGCCUUCUUGAGAGCCCAACUCAUCUUUCCCUCUUCCUGCUCCGAGCUCCCAAGAACCUAAAGCCUGAACCCUCGACUCUAGCGCUCUACCGCACUAGGCAACUGAUCUUUCUCCAAAGAAAGCGUCAUUAGUCCAUCCACUCCACCCACCCUUUGCAUUCCAUGCUGAAUGUGCUGUUUUCCUUCCUCCCCCCUUCACCAUCAGUAAAUACAGAAUGAAAUCAUGUAUCCCAAAAUUGGACUGUCGAUUUCAAAGUUCGUUUCUUAGAUGGGGAAAUUGAGACCCAUUUCCAAGUCAGAAAGAGGGUUGACUUGCCCAAGGUCACACAGCAAAAGUGGAACUAGAUCCCAGGUCCCAGCCCAGAGCCCUCUCCAUUUCACCUGAAUAGGAACAGGAAAUGCCAGAAGGAACUUGUGUGUACGUGUGUAGAGGUGGGGGUUAGGGGCGGGGGGCUGUUCCAGGCCUGUUCCAGGAUGGGGCAUUAAGGAGGGCAGGGAGGGCAAAGUUGCCCUGGAAGAUCAAACUCUUCUUUCCCCUGACUCCAGCCCAGAUCAAGCUACUUUGAAGGGCUCCAAAUUUCAGGGGUUGGCCAAGCGUCCUUACAUCAGCAGGCAGGUCUGUUGGUGGCUGAAAACACUUCAAUUCAAGCAAAUACCACCCUCUCUUCUAACCUGGAAAGGGAGAAAGGGGCUGGUAAUAAAUACCCAGAGGGUGCUGCUGAGAUCUGAGGUCAGCCAGAGAGGGCCUUCUGGUGCUUGCAGUUAGAAGGUUAAGGGAGAAGCUGGGAGGGUGAUUGGCAUGUAAUUUGUAGGAGGCUCCUGUGAUACCUGCCUGGCAGCCUGAGGCCUCCUCAGGGAUGCUCUCCUUCUGGGCGUCAUGUGCUUCUCUGCAAAGGCUACCAGGCAGCCUGGUCCCUGCCUGCUUGUCCAGCCUCAUCUCCAGCUUCGUUACUGAUUUGCUCUUUCUCACGUCUUCACCUUGCACACAGCUCACUCCUCCUAAUCCAUCCAUUUCAAAUGUCAAGAUUUCUGAGUUGCUUCCCCUCCCCAUAACACCCCACACUAGCCAGGCUGUGCAGAGCUCCUGCCUCUGUUUCCAAAAUGCUAAUUCCCUCUUGUCACAGUUUGUUUUCUAGUCUGUUGCCCUCACUAGACUGUGUACUCCUUGAGAACAGAAAUUACAUCGUCUUCAUCCUCGUCUUUCCUCCUCUACAAAAAUAGCGAUAAUAAUUGUACCUACCUCAUUGAAUAGUUGUGGGAAUUAAAUGAAAUAAGGCACUUAGCCCAGUGCCUGAAACUUUCAGAGAAGCUCAACAACUAUUUCUUAUCACCAUCAUCAUCAUUAUUGAACACUACCUCCUGCCAGGCAUAAAAUCCAACACAGAUACUCAGAUAAUGUUAGAUGUGUGGAUAUGUGAAUGAAUAAAUGAAUGAAUCAUACGACACACUUCUCACUCUGGGACUCUAGACAAAGUUGUAUCUAGCUUACAUCAUCACUAGAGAUAUGUGUUCUCUUACAACAUUGUUUCUCCCCCAUCAGUUCCCUUCCCUGAAGGAAGGAAAAUGUGUAUCCCCAUCAGGGGGAGUUUUUCCCUGGUCCCUGAAGCCACUGGAUUUCUCUCUCAUGCUGUCUACCUCAGUUUCUUUCCUUUAAAAUGGUUCUGAUCAAUCAAACUAGCCACACUUUGCCAGAAUCUCCUAGGGACUCUCCAUUGCCUAUGAGACAAAAUUCAAUCUUCUUAGCAUGGUGAACUGAAUAUGUUCAAUUUUGAGAUGUCCCACCUCUCUGUUGGGUAAGAUCUCCUGUAUUCCAUGUGGUGCUCCUGAUGGGGCUGUUCAGUCUCUUUCCUCCUCACACUUGCCUCCAGGAGCAGACAGGCAACCUGGUUGGAUCAAACACAGCAUUGCAAGCCCAAGGUGAUAGGCCUAGGUGGGACCUAAGUCAAGCCAAUCACUCCUUCUAUAAGAUUCAAUACAUGAACUCUGAGAUGCCAGAAUAUAAAGACUCUGGGGCUCUGGGAUACAUGGACAUGGAACUCUUGGAGGUUCUCCUUUUGGAUCAGAAGAUGAGCACGCAGGUCUAGCUGCCAGCAACCAUCCUUCCUGUCGUGUGGAGAGUGCUGUUUAACAUCAAAGUCCAUCCACAGAUGAAAACACCCCAAGGAGCCAGAGCUUAGUGACAAUGUUGAGUCCUCCUCCUCUGCCUGAAACUAGAACCCUUAGACUUCACAGAUAUUCUAAAGAUAUUCCCCUUUCUGCUUAGUAGGUUGAGUCAAAUUUUUCACAAGCAGCAGCACCACAGCAGAGAAGGAUCCUGGGUUUCUGAGACCAUUGAGGUGCCAUGCCAUUCUGAACUGCCUGCACAGACUUUUAUGUGAAAAAGAAAUAAACUUCAGUCUUGG